GUAGUCCACGCCGUAAACGAUGUGGACUAGCCGUUGGGAUCCUUGAGAUCUUAGUGGCGCAGCUAACGCAUUAAGUCGACCGCCUGGGGAGUACGGCCGCAAGGUUAAAACUCCAAUGAAUUGACGGGGGCCCGCACAAGCGGUGGAACAUGGGGUUUAAUUCGAARCAACGCGAAAAACCUUACCAGGGCUUGACAUGCCUAGAACUUUCCAGAGAUGGAUUGGUGCCUUUGGGAACUCUGACACAGGUGCUGCAUGGCUGUCGUCCGCUCGUGUUGUGAGAUGUUGGGUUAAGUCCCGUAACGAGCGCAACCCUUGUCUUUAGUUACCAGCCCGUUAAGGUGGCCACUCUAAGGAGACUGCCGGKGACAAACCGGAGGAAGGGGGGGAUGACGUCAAGUCAUCAUGGCCCUUACGCCCUGGGCUACACACGUGCUACAAUGGUCGGUACAAAGGGUUGCCAASCCGCGAGGUGGAGCUAAUCCCAUAAAACCGAUCGUAGUCCGGAUCCCAUUCUGCAAUUCGACUGCGUGAAGUCGGAAUCGCUAGUAAUCGUGAAUCAGAAUGUCACGGUGAAUACGUUCCCGGCCCUUGUACACACCGCCCGUCACACCAUGGGAGUGGGUUGCUCCAAAAGUAGCUAGUCUAACCUUCGGGGGGACGGUUACCACGGAGUGAUUCAUGACUGGGGUGAAGU
rnacentral:rRNA from 2 species